rnacentral:rRNA from 1 species
GCGCACCAGUCGAGAAUAUUCCGCAAUGGGCGAAAGCCUGAUGGAGCGACACCGCAUGCGAGAUGAAGGCCCUAGGGUCGUAAAUCGCUUUUAUUAGGGAUCAAUGUACUGAGCGUACCUAAUGAAUAAGAGGUUACUAACUCUGUGCCAGCAGUAGCGGUAAUACAGAGACCUCAAGCGUUAUCCGGAUUUAUUGGGCGUAAAGCGUAUGUAGGCGGGUGUGUUAGUCGUGGGUCAAAUUUCAGAGCUCAACUCUGAAGCUGCUUACGAAACGGCACAUCUAGAGAAAGUGAGAGAUGACUGGAACUCAUGGUGUAGUAGUGAAAUGCGUUGAUAUCAUGGGGAACACCAAAGGCGAAGGCAGGUCAUUGGCACUUUUCUGACGCUGAGAUACGAAAGCGUGGGUAGCGAAUGGGGAUUAGAUACCCCUGUACGU